UAGGGAAUCUUCGGCAAUGGGGGGAACCCUGACCGAGCAACGCCGCGUGAGUGAAGAAGGUUUUCGGAUCGUAAAGCUCUGUUGUUAAGGAAGAACGAGUGUGAGAAUGGAAAGUUCAUGCUGUGACGGUACUUAACCAGAAAGGGACGGCUAACUACGUGCCAGCAGCCGCGGUAAUACGUAGGUCCCGAGCGUUGUCCGGAUUUAUUGGGCGUAGAGCGAGCGCAGGCGGUUAGAAAAGUCUGAAGUGAAAGGCAGUGGCUCAACCAUUGUAGGCUUUGGAAACUGUUUAACUUGAGUGCAGAAGGGGAGAGUGGAAUUCCAUGUGUAGCGGUGAAAUGCGUAGAUAUAUGGAGGAACACCGGUGGCGAAAGCGGCUCUCUGGUCUGUAACUGACGCUGAGGCUCGAAAGCGUGGGGAGCGAACAGG
rnacentral:rRNA from 2 species